CACGUUAUUUAUUUUUACAAUGAGGUCCCCCCCAGCCUCCCUUUUCCUACAUUUGCUGGGGGAGCUGGAGUGGCCUUGUUGCUGGGAUCCAGUAGAAGCUGCAGGUAUCACUUGGACUACACAGCUCUCAGUGCGCCCUGCAGCUCUGGCAAGAGGGGGACUGCUCUGUGCACCGCCUUGCCAACUAAGGAAGACUGUCCCCACCACCAUAGAUACAAACUGUAGAAACAUCAUAGGAUAUCCCUUGUCUCUUGUAUUUUCACUCAUUGAGGUGAAGUGGUCUGGGUGACUACAGUGUCCCUUUAAUCUCAAUGAAAUGAUCUGGGUUCAUUUCAACCCAAGAAUAUUUACAUUGCAGAGUUAAUACCACCUCUAGUGACUGUCUUCCUGACAACCACUAGAGGCACUUCCUCCUCCCGAAACGAGUGAAACUUUGUCCAGGAAUCAAAUGCUGUGGAUAGCAGGAUUUGAUUGGAGAUGCAUGCGCACCUCCAAUCAAUAGUGUCUGUAUGGAAAGCAAAGGAUAGGAGCAGAUCACGGAAGAUGUCAGCCAGCAUGCAAACGUCUUUAAAGGUGAAGCAAGCUAUAGCAGCAGCAGAAGAGUUUUGGGGCUGGAAACAAACAGUUUUAAACUUUUCACUAACAAAAUGGGGUGGACAAAAGGGAAACUAUAGCCCUAAAUAAAUAUAUAAAUGUAGAUUGUUGUUUUUUUUUGCAUUACAGGUUCCCUGUAAUGUUGGAUCUGCCUAUGUAUUCCCCUUUAACAGAACUAAAACCACAUUAAAAACAUAUGGGUUUCUGCUAUUUUCAAACGGGUCUCUUUGCAACAGUGAGACUCCUCUGAAAAUAGUUCCAGCUGAAUUGUGCACCAUAAGCGAUUACAAAAAAGAGGGGUUUGGGAAGAUUUACGUUUGAUGUACAUUUAAAGCCAUUGGAUAAGUGCAUCAUCUGACAACCUCAGCAAAUUAAUGUCUUUAAAGAAACACUGCACUGAUUUUUCGUCUUCAAUUUAGUAGGUAUACCUUUUUAAAAAAAAAAAA